rnacentral:rRNA from 1 species
GAUGAACGCUAGCGGGAGGCUUAACACAUGCAAGUCGUGGGGCAGCAUGGUGUAGCAAUACACUGAUGGCGACCGGCGCACGGGUGAGUAACACGUAUGCAACCUACCUGUAAGCGGGGAAUAACCCGGAGAAAUUCGGACUAAUACCGCAUAAAACUGCGAAACUGCAUGGUUUUGCAUUUAAACAUUUAUGGCUUACAGAUGGGCAUGCGUAUGAUUAGCUAGUUGGUGAGGUAACGGCUCACCAAGGCAACGAUCAUUAGGGGUUCUGAGAGGAAGGUCCCCCACACUGGUACUGAGACACGGACCAGACUCCUACGGGAGGCAGCAGUGAGGAAUAUUGGUCAAUGGGCGAGAGCCUGAACCAGCCAAGUCGCGUGAAGGAAGAAGGUUCUAUGGAUUGUAAACUUCUUUUGUAAGGGAAUAAAAAGUAGUACGUGUACUAUCUUGUAUGUACUUUACGAAUAAGGAUCGGCUAACUCCGUGCCAGCAGCCGCCGUAACAC